AGUGAACGCUGGCGGUAGGCCUAACACAUGCAAGUCGAACGGCAGCACAGUAAGAGCUUGCUCUUACGGGUGGCGAGUGGCGGACGGGUGAGGAAUACAUCGGAAUCUACUUUUUCGUGGGGGAUAACGUAGGGAAACUUACGCUAAUACCGCAUACGACCUACGGGUGAAAGCAGGGGAUCUUCGGACCUUGCGCGAUUGAAUGAGCCGAUGUCGGAUUAGCUAGUUGGCGGGGUAAAGGCCCACCAAGGCGACGAUCCGUAGCUGGUCUGAGAGGAUGAUCAGCCACACUGGAACUGAGACACGGUCCAGACUCCUACGGGAGGCAGCAGUGGGGAAUAUUGGACAAUGGGCGCGAGCCUGAUCCAGCCAUACCGAGUGGGUGAAGAAGGCCUUCGGGUUGUAAAGCCCUUUUGUUGGGAAAGAAAAGCAGCAGGUUAAUACCCCGCUGUUCUGACGGUACCCAAAGAAUAAGCACCGGCUAACUUCGUG
rnacentral:rRNA from 1 species